rnacentral:misc_RNA from 1 species
CCCCUGUCGAAACAACACAAACAACACUUUUGUUUGGCAUCCACGCCUGCUUUCCUCUCUCUCUCCAUCUCUAUCACACACGCGCCCCCUUCUCUGCUGCCUUCCACUCACCAACCGCUCUCUCACCAUCACCGACAGCAUGUCGACAUAUCCCUGUCCACAGUGCGUGGGCGUAUUCGCCAAAGCAGCGUGAGGAAAAGAGGCGCGUCCCGCGAGCCACGUCGCCUUGUGUUGUCGACUUGUCUCCCAGUCACAGCACUGCCCAGACGUAUGCGCAGGCACGUGCGCACACGCACGUCGGCACCGACGCCACUCUGAAGGCGUCGACGGCAAAGAACAAGGUUUUUUUUAUCCCUCAUUUUUUUUGCGGGGGGGGGGGGGUCUCUACCAGGUGGCUACUUGGUGCACAGUUAUGCAGAACCAGAGAGCCUCACUUACCCUGUCCCUUCCUAACCGCACGACCCCCCCCUCCUCCUCCUCCUCAUAGCUUUUUUGAAGGGCUUGUGAGUAGCAAGAAGGUGUACAUCGCCUCAAUGCUUAGCUCUGCUGUUGCAGGUAGGAGUGUGGGGGGUGGAGUCACUAAAGGCGACUCCACCCAGUAUCACCGCUCCCAGCUGAUGCUUUAGCACUCGCAGAGCAGCGGCAACGGAGGUGGUGAUAGCGUUUCCCCGUCGCCGCACACCAUCAGGCACGCCUCGCCCGCCGUCACCUCGGCAUCCUUCGACAGUUGCACCGAAUCCAAUGCCGCCACACUGCUUGGCGGUGUCUAGGGCGGAUCGAUGGCGAACGGCAGCGGCGGCGACGCAGCCGCAGGAACCCAAAGAAAAGACCAACUAAGGUACGGUACUAGUGUGCGACGCACGCCCCGGAAGGGGCGAAUAAGAGAGGAGCGGGCAAGUCACCGAGAUGUGGCGGAGGUACACAGGCUACCCUCUACUCUCUUCAUCCAGCUCGCGGCGCAUGCGUUUCGCUGCCGUGGAAUGUGCCGUAGACCACACAUCCGCUCACGCACACGCACACACACACAUAUAUAGAGAGGCACCCCAAUGCGCCCAAUAGGUCUUGUCGGCUUAUAAUGCGAAAGAG